GAUAAACCUUAAUUAUCCCAAGUUGUUAAAUACCCCAAGUAUAAAAGCCUAUGCACUGUUCCCGAUCCCUCGCCUUACUCCCGCCACGCGAUCGCCGCUUCCCUCUCCUCGCUCAUCUCCGGUGCUUCGGCGGAGUUUCCCACCGUGCUUGGAGCUCCGGCCAAGCGUCGUCCCGCGAAGUUGAUUUCCAUGGAGGACCUCACGACCAGACAGGGAUCCUCGCCGGCGCAGUAACAUAGGGCAGGGACUUCUGACGGUGGCACAAGGCAAGGAAAGGCAAGUUCAUCAUCUAUGAUGAUAUGGGAUCGGUGAGGUAAGGGAUGGGUAGCUAGGUAGGUUGAUAAAUUGCCAACAAAGUCUGAUUGAUGGUUUAUGUUAUGGAUUGAUUUCUUUUCCGCGAUGUUCUUUAUUCGGCUUGAGGUUUCCGUGAUACUCAUGAUACGACUUGAGAUUUCUGAGAUGUUCUUGCUUUGUCUUAUGGUUCCGUGAGGUUUUGGCUUCGAUUUAUGAUCUCCUUAAUGUUAAAUGCCCGAUUGAUGGUAUGAGUCGCAAGUUCAAUCUCUAUGCUAAAUGUGAGAUCUGUGAGGUAUGGAAUAGAAAACUGGGAGACGUUAAAGCCUUAUCGACGAGUUCCGUUUGGUUGUAAGGAUCGUGGUACAUUCUAGCCCGUGAUGCUUGUGUCUUAACCGAGGUUUCAAUGUUCCUUUAGAUUCAGAGAAUGCUCUUUUUGAGUUUCUGCUUUGAACUAGUGAUUGUCGUGAGGUUUUAUCGGAUUGGUGGUUUUAAUCGGAGUUUUCGCGUGGUUUUGGUGGUUGAGUUGGAAACAGCGAUGCUUGAUUCAUGUGCUGUGAUGUUGAUUCGAUGCGGAUUUGGGAUUUCAGUGUGUUUAUGCUUUUCACCGUGAGAUGCUGCGAUGAUUUCUUGGAUGGUUGUCUUCCCUGUGGAUGGACUCGAUUUGAGGUUUCAUCGAAAUUCUUGCUUUGUUCGCAUGGUUUCUAGAUUUUUUGCCAGUGCUUUCAGUUACUGACAGAGUUCGUUUACCAGUGGAUUGUUCUGUUGGUGAUUCUUGUGGUGUUAGCUUGGCUAGGAAUGGGCUCGGAUACGAUUUCUUUCAUGAUGUUGAUGUUGUGAGCAUGUUGUAUGUUACCUGUUUGUUUAGAUGUCUGGCCGAGAAAUUUAUUGGAGGAAUGAAUGGUAUAUUGAGUUUUCCUUGGAGCCCUGGAUUUGGUUUGAUUUCUGCGAGGUCUUCGAGUUAAUUUUAAGGAUGAUUUGCUUCCUACUUGGGUUUCCGAUUGGUUUCAGUCAAGAUGUCUCUGUUUUUCCGAACUGUUAUGGAAUGUCGGGUUAAUUGCGGAAGCUGUGCUGAUCUUCUUGGUGUGGCUGGUACUUCAAAUUAGGUGGAACAAGGUAAGCAAGUUUUGAGUUCUCUGUUGUGAUGGUUCAUAAGCUUGGGACAGAUUCAAUUUUUUCUUGAAGCAGUGUCGUGGUUCUGUUUUUGUUGGGGGAAUUCCAUGUGAUGUUCUGUUUUGUGAAAGUUUGUGGAUUCAGCGUGGUUUUCUUUUAUGUUGGAUAGUUUAUCUGAUUUAGAUUUGGAAGAUUUCAAGAUUUUCACAAUGAAGUGACGUUCUUUUGUGAAGCAAUGGGAUUUAAGCUCUUAUGUGUACAUGUUCUUGAGAUAGCCAUGGACUGUUACAGAACUGAACUGAUGACUGUGAUUGAAUUGGAUUGUUUAGUUCACAACUUAUGAA